AAUUUAAAGCGCUUUUUGCUCUUUUUCGUGUAAAAGUGAAGAAACUUGAAUAAAACAAUUUAUAGCAUUAAAAUAAAUUAAAAUAAGUGAUUUAAAUAAACAAAUUAACUAUAUUGGUAUUAGAAUACGUGUGUGAUAUGUUAAUAAGUGUCUGUAGAGCAACAGACAAGUUUCAAAAUAAGAUCCUGUUCCAUCCUGAUCCAUGCCCAAUUUAAACAACGUUUGUCGGCCGCUUUUUUAAAUCAAUAGUUGGAACAAAAUGCGGUAAUAAUUGAAAACGCUGCAUGGCUGAGGCUAAUUACCAAAAAAGUCCGAUUUUAACUGCGCAUCUUGAAAUACAUACAAAACGCUACCAACCGAAAUAUUGAAGAUGGGAGCGGGAUGGGAUUUUUUAUCAUCUUUAACAAAAUUGCAUUAUGAAGAGCUGUCGGAAUUAUAAGAAGGUGGUACCACGAUGAUGGAUCUUCAUCAUUAUGCUUCGGAAUAAAUUUAUUAUUGGUCUCCCAUGCUUCGCCAUCCAAGGAUGCGUUAAGCUCUCUCUCAGUGUCACAACACUACAUUUUAGGCAUUAAAAAUGUCUACGAGGACUGCCAACAACUCAAAUUGGAUCUACAGUCAGAGGACUUCCUGGUAUAACCAUAUAGAUUCCAGAUCAGGUAUGUUUAAGGCUAUCCAACAAGAAAAUCCGAUGAAAUUCAUAAAAACAACCUACCAGCCAAAAUAUUGAAGAUGGAAGCGGAAAUUGUAUGUCAUCUUUGGCAAAAUGAAAUUCGAAAAGAUUGCAGCAAAACAUUGGCAUUACGAAGAGCUGUCGGAAUUAUGAGGAGGUCUUGAUACGAUGACGAAUAUUCAUCGAUAUGCCUCGGUAUAAAUUUAUUAUUGGUCUCCAAUGUUUCGCCAACCAAGGACCCGUUAAGCAAUCAUCCCGAACUCGAAUUGGAUCGAUAGUCAGAGGCCUUCUCGUUAUGGCAAAAUGAAAUUCGAAAAGAUUUCAUCAGGGCAUCGGUAUUAUGAAGUGAUGUCGGAAAUAUGAGGAGAUUUUGUUACGGUGAUGGCUCUUCUUCGUCAUGUUUCAGUAUAAAUUUAUUAUUGGUCACCCAUGUUUCGCCAUCCAAGGACCCGUUAAGCUCCCUCUCUAUCUCUCUCAAUGUCACAACACUUCAUUUUAGGCAUUAAAAAUGUCUUCGAGGACUGCCAACAAAAUUUUCAUCCUGAGCUCGAAUUAAAUCAACAGUCAGAGGCCUUCUUGGUAUGUCAAUGAAGAUUCCA